AUGUUCUGGAGAUGGACGGUGGACACGGUUGUGCAGCAGUGCAGUGACUGGUGGCAUUGGAUCCGCCAGCGUCCUGGGAAAGCGCUGGAGUGGAUGGGGUACUGGAAAGGGAGCACGAGCUACAACUCGGCUUUCCAGGGCCGCAUCUCCAUCACCGCCGACACAUCCAACAACCAGUUCUCCCUGCAGCUGAGCUCUGUGACCGCCGACGACACAGCCAUGUAUUACUGUGCAAGAGACACAGUGAAGCAGAUCGAGCAUGAUCAUCUGCACAAGAUGAUGCUUCAAACUCACUUCAUGUAUUUCCUUCCCAGCAGUAUAUUCAUCAUUGCUUUAAGAGCCACGGAUCCUCUUAAUAGAGAGGAAGUUUGA